GGUCAGUGUCAGGGCGCUCCGAGGGGUCCAAGCUGAUCACUGCACGCACACACUCACGCUCAACCCUAGUGUUAUGCAUCAUUUUAAGCCAAAUAAGAAAGGGGAAACACUUUCCUGCAGUGUUGUUUUUGAGUGAACGGUGAGGAUUACCGGAGCGCUCCUGUCUCCAGAAAUCAGCGGUGUGUUUGAGUUUCUCGUCCGGGAUGGCCUUAUCCCGUCAGGACUACAUGGCACCAUGGUGGACCUACUGGGUGCAUAAUUUCCCGCAUCUUAAUUUUAAUUUCCAGACAGUUGAUAAAACAUUUCAACCGGAGGACGCCAGCUAUCAGCAGUUCAGCGGUGGGCGUGGGUUUCUAUGGAAACAGCUAAACCAGUGAUGGAGUUUACCAGUUGACUUACUCCAUUCAUAAAGCCAAUCACACACUGGGUGGCAUUGGCCGUCUGUUGGGAAACUCUUGGGUAGUAUGCAGGUUGGGCUGAAAGAACACCUGGAGUGGUUGGAUGAGAGAUUUUCUCCACACGGAAACUACACCCAAGCCUUGCGCUCCAUGCAGCAGAUGGCCAACAACGUUAUUCAGCAGCUGACAGCCAUGCCACACACAAGGAAGGUGCAAGUGGAUUUGACAGUAAUCAUGGAUAAAACUUCAUUCGUAGAGUA